rnacentral:lncRNA from 1 species
UUGACUCUCACUAUGUACAUUACAAAGUUCUUAGUCAGCACAACAUUAUCAAUUGUACAAAUUACACCGUUUGACUCUCUCUAAGUACAUUAAGAAGUUCUUAGUCAGCACAGCAUUAUCAAAUGUAGAAAUUACAUAGUUUGACUCUCACUAUGUACAUUACAAAGUUCUUAGUCAGCACAACAUUAUCAAAUGUACAAAUUACACCGUUCACCCAUUCUUCAGAUGAUUCGUUAGUUAUGCGGGUAAGCUUGACAACAUGAUAGAAAAUAUCAUAUGCUAAAAGGGGUGCGAGAAAUGUAUCUUGGUGUAGGGAUAGACGCUAUGUUGAGUACCCAUUGUGCACCUUGUAAGGAAGCCAUGAAUAGGCUCCAUUGUUGCAUCAGUCGAUGGCCAAGAUAAGAAAACCGACAGAUAAGUACAUGAGUAACACCGGGUAAAGUGCGAGCGCUUUCCUCCUCGGGUUGACAGCAGUACUCAUGAAUGGAUAUGCAGCCCAUGAGCUCCAGGCUAAUGUCACAGUGACAACUACCGUUUUAACUAUCAAAUUGUCUUUCAGCAUGCAGAUUAAGGCACCGAUGUCUAGAGGGAAUAGACAGUAACCUAGAAUACUAAGGCUCUGGAAGAAGAUAAUAUGACCACCCUGAAAUAUGAGAAAAUGAUUGUCAAUUAGCAUAGUAACAUCAGCUGUAAAAUAAAUAACUUUCGAGAUUAACCAGAUUUUGACAUAAAAUUCACAUGGGUAGAAAAAAUUAGCAUGUUCAUUUUAUAUGCGCAAUAAGAGGGAGAAAGAAGGGG